CAUGGGGUGCAAACGUUGCUCGGAAUUAUUGGGCGUAAAGCGCGCGUAGGCGGUUACUUAAGUCGGAUGUGAAAGCCCUCGGCUUAACUGAGGAAGUGCACCCGAAACUGAGUAGCUGGAGUACGAAAGAGGGUCGCGGAAUUCCCGGUGUAGAGGUGAAAUUCGUAGAUAUCGGGAGGAACACCGGUGGCGAAGGCGGCGACCUGGGUCGAGACUGACGCUGAGGCGCGAAAGGCGUGGGGAGCAAACAGGAUUAGAUACCCUGGUAGUCCACGCCGUAAACGAUGGGUGCUAGAUGUUUCUGGUAUUGACCCCGGAGGCGUCGUAGCUAACGCGUUAAGCACCCCGCCUGGGGAGUACGGCCGCAAGGCUA
rnacentral:rRNA from 1 species